GAUGAACGCUGGCGGCGUGCCUAAUACAUGCAAGUCGAGCGAAUGGAUUAAGAGCUUGCUCUUAUGAAGUUAGCGGCGGACGGGUGAGUAACACGUGGGUAACCUGCCCAUAAGACUGGGAUAACUCCGGGAAACCGGGGCUAAUACCGGAUAACAUUUUGAACCGCAUGGUUCGAAAUUGAAAGGCGGCUUCGGCUGUCACUUAUGGAUGGACCCGCGUCGCAUUAGCUAGUUGGUGAGGUAACGGCUCACCAAGGCAACGAUGCGUAGCCCACCUGGGAGGGUGAUAGGCCACACUGGGACUGGGACACGGCCCAGACUCCUACUGGAGGCAGCAGUAGGGAAUCUUCCGCAAUGGACGAAAGUCUGACGGAGCAACGCCGCGUGAGUGAUGAAGGCUUUCGGGUCGUAAAACUCUGUUGUUAGGGAAGAACAAGUGCUAGUUGAAUAAGCUGGCACCUUGACGGUACCUAACCAGAAAGCCACGGCUAACUACGUGCCAGCCGCCGCAGUAA
rnacentral:rRNA from 1 species